GUGCAGUGAUGUGUGUUUCAACACAUCAUACAAAAGUAUGUGAUGACAUCUCAGGACUGAGCGCA